rnacentral:tRNA from 1 species
GGGGGCAUAGCUCAGCUGGUAGAGCGGCUGCCUUGCACGCAGCAGGUCGGCGGUUCGACUCCGCCUGUCUCCA